GACGAACGCUGGCGGCGUGCUUAACACAUGCAAGUCGAACGGAAAGGCCCUGCUUUUGUUGGGUGCUCGAUUGGCGAAGGGGUGAGUAACACGUGAGUAACCUGCCCUUGACUGUGGGAUAACUUCAGGGAACUCGGGCUAAUACCGGAUAUGAGCUCCUGCUCCAUGGGGGGGGUUGGAAAGUUUCGGCGGUUCGGGAUGGACUCGCUGCUUAUCAGCUUGUUGGUGGGGUAGUGGCUUACCAAGGCUUUGACGGGUAGCCGGCAUGAGAGGGUGACCGGGGACAUUGGGACUGCGAUACGGACCAGAAUCCAAUGGGAGGCAGUAGUGGAGAACAUUGCAGAACGGGCGGAAGUGUGAUGCAGAAACGCUGGGUGCGGGAUGAUGGCUUUUGAGUUGUAAACAGAUUUCGACUGUGCCGAAGCGUGCGUGACGGUACUGGGUAAAGAAGCAACGGCUAACUACGUG
rnacentral:rRNA from 1 species